rnacentral:lncRNA from 1 species
CUCUUGAGAGCAUGUGAAGAAGAAGAACCCUGAAAAUUACUGGAAAUUUAUUAAUAUACUAGUUCAACAUUUUCUCCUCUAUUUUGUUGGGGUAAGUAGCCAACAUUGCAGGCUUUGCUGCAUUUGGAAAGAUUUUUUGUGAUGAAGCAAAUAAUUUUAAAAGCAUGAGCAAGAAACUUGUGAAAGAGAACUAAGAAUUGGUUUUGAAUUACUUUCUCAAUAUCAGAAUACAAAGAGGACAUUUACAAAUGAUUUCAACUCUUCAGAGCACAAAAAUUGAAGAGUUUGGUUCAGUCAUGUUGGCCAUAACAUUAGAAGGAAUGUAAACAAGAACUGAGGCCAAUGAAAGCCUCUUCAGUGCAUGGAAUGGUGAUGCCACCCAUUGGAUGAGUGUACCCAAACUUCUCUUCAGUGCAACUUAGCAAGUCUUUGAACCACUGGUGGUUCAAGUAUGAUAUUGGUACAACAAGUCUCUUUUUCUGCUCUUCUCCUACAUAAACAGCAAAGUGGCCCUUUGGGACAUUCGUCACAGCCAUACUCGAUUGCUUAGACAUCAAGACAGAUCGUCGGAUGAUCGAUAGCAAGCUCAUACCCAUGGUUUCUGAGGAUUGUUAUGAUUAAGAGUUAAGAGAUCUUUGGAUGAGGGAAAGCUGUGACAAUAGAGGAUGUGAUGAC